rnacentral:rRNA from 1 species
UACAGAGGUCUCAAGCGUUGUUCGGAUUCAUUGGGCGUAAAGGGUGCGUAGGCUGCACGGUAAGUCAGAGGUGAAAUCCCGGAGCUCAACUUCGGAAUUGCCUCCGAUACUGCCGUGCUUGAGGACUGGAGAGGAGAUUGGAAUUCACAGUGGAGCAGUGAAAUGCGUAGAUAUUUGUGAGGAACACUAGUGGCGAAGGCGGGUCUCUGGACAGUUCCUGACGCUGAGGCACGAAGGCCCAGGGGGAGCAAAACGGGGAUUAGAAA